rnacentral:lncRNA from 1 species
CCAAAUCGGACUCUUAUUGACCUCCAUUACUAAACAAAACGACUUGCUUGGUGGGUGAAACAACGACAAAAACGCCACCUGCUGGAAGGAGACACGUUUUUCCUCCGAGAUGGACCUUCCUCUUCCUGUUCGUCUCUUCCUGUUCCUCUCUCUUCCUCUUCCUGUCUCUUCCUCUUCCUGUCUCUGAUCACACUUCGCGCCACUGAGGAUUUUUAAGGAGCUGCGUUGUCAACUUGUAUCAUCACAAUCAAUCAGAAAAGUCAUUUUGUUGUGUUGAUUAUGGACAUCAGACGGUUCUUUGUAUCAAGCAAACCCGCAGCGCAGAAACCGUCUCAGGAUGGAAACCUCAACACAGAGUCCCCGAAGAAGAAAUCCGUCUCAACAGACGAAGAAGUGAAGAAAAAGCAAACUGCUACCAAGGUGGUGAAGAAGAAGAAGAAGGACAGUGAUAAAAAGACAAAGAAGCGUGCUGUCAUUGAGUCAGACUCUGAGGAGGAGGUAGUGGAGCAGAAGGUCCGGAAACAGCACCCUCCUCUUCCUCCUGCCAAGAAAGACCCGGUGCAGUAUGUCUCUGAGACAGAUUCAGACAGUGAUAACUUCCUGUCUCUGAAGAAGUCUGCAAAGCCCCAGGAUAAUGGAGUGACCAAACCAGGGAAGGCCCGCACCGGGACCAAAGAGAUCUACAGGUCCCCCUCGAAACCCACCCCUGCGCCCGCCAAGGGGAAAGGAGUGAUAAAGAAGUCUCCUCCAGCCCCCGUCACCCCUAAAUCAGCGCCCCAGCACACCAAACGCACCCCCACCUCUGUCCUGGACUACUUUGGCAGUGGGAGUGUCCAGCGCUCGGGCAAGAAACUGGUAGCAAGUACCAAGAGGAAAGCUGACCAUGAUGAGUCGCUGACUGAUGAGGUCAUCGCCCAGCAGCUGCAGAUGGACGAGGACAUGGAGUUGGAGAGGCUGGUCCACGAGGACGAGGAGUUUGCCAGGACGCUGGCCAUGUUGGACCAAGAACCACACGAUCUGGGGUCUGACACGUCAGCCAACAAAAGCAUCGCUAACUCCUCCCACAGCAGCACUACCAGCCAAUCACAGUCCAAUGGGCGGGACCACAACCAGGACGUGAUCGGUCCGUCCCCUAAAAAGGUCCCCCCUCUUGUUAAAACCAGUUCCAAACUGGCCGUGAUGAAGAGAAGGGAGGUGGAAGAGGAAGGAGGAGGGAAGACAAAUCUGACUAUCAAAAUGCCCGUCUCUCCCAAAAAGGAGUUCCUAACCACUUCAAGCACAGACAGGAAGUCCAAGCCCAAAACAGGAAGUGUAACCAUGGUGACCACACGCACGACUCUUAAAACCUCCCCCAAGAAAGAGAGCACCAGUCCAGAGGAUUCAGAGAAGAAGCGAGGGAACUCCUCAGCCUUCCGUAGUUUCCUGAACAGAGACGGACCCAGAGCCCUGGGGUCUAAACCCAUACCCACUGGAGCAGAGAACUGCCUGGAGGGGUGUGUGUUUGUGAUAUCUGGUGUGUUGGAGAGUAUGGAACGUGAGGAUGCUAAGUCCCUGAUCGAGCGCUACGGAGGGAAGGUGACCGGCAACGUCAGCAAGAGGACGACAUACCUGGUGAUGGGCAGAGACGGAGGAGCGGCCAAGACUGACAAGGCGGAGGGGUUUGGAACUAAGAUCCUGGAUGAGGAUGGUCUGUUAGAGCUCAUCAGAUGUUCACCAGGGAAGAAAUCCAAGUACCUGAUUGCUGCCGAGGCCGAGAACAAGGGAUUUAAGAGCAGAACCCCAGACACCGAGGCCUUGUCUCGCACUCCCAAACAGUCCCCAAAACCCAGCCCCUCCAAACCUGGCUCGGCGUCGGGGCGAGGAGUCAGGGUGGGGGACAGCGUGACCCCCCCAGCGAGAGGUACAGGUUCAGGGGUCAAAAGAGGGCUGGACUUGGGGGGUAAGAGCCAAUCAUCUUCCUCCUCUGCCACUCCGUCUUUGCCCUCAUUCGCUGGUGAAGAUUUCAGUCUGCUGUGGGUGGAUAAGUACCGCCCCCAGAAUCUGAAGGCUGUGAUUGGUCAGCAGGGAGACCAGAGCCAAGCCAAUAAGUUGCUUCGCUGGCUGAAGAACUGGCACACCCACCAUGCAGUGGGAGGGGCUAAACCAGCAGGCAGAGGGUUUGGUAAGUUCAGCAGUACUAAGGAUAACGGCUCCAGCUUCAAGGCAGCGCUGCUGUCUGGUCCUCCAGGGGUGGGCAAGACCACCACAGCUGCUCUGGUCUGUCAGGAGCUGGGUUAUAGUUAUGUAGAGAUGAAUGCCAGCUGUACCCGCAGUAAGAACAGUCUGAAUCUGAUCGCUGAGUCUCUGAACAACAGCAGCAUCAACAACUACUACACAGGUUCGUCUCAGACAGUCAGCAGUAAGCAUGUUCUCAUCAUGGAUGAGAUUGAUGGCAUGGCAGGAAACGAAGACCGCGGAGGAAUACAGGAGAUGAUAAGUCUGAUUAAACAGUCCAGGAUCCCCAUCAUCUGUAUGUGUAAUGAUCGUAACCACCAGAAGAUCCGGUCUCUGGCCAACUACUGCUUUGACCUGCGCUUCCAGAGACCACGACUGGAACAGAUCAAGGGUGCCAUGAUGUCCAUUGCUUUCAAAGAGGGUCUGAAAGUCCCGCCUCCUGCCCUCAACGAGAUGAUCCUGGCGUCCAAUCAGGACAUCCGACAGGUCCUCCACAACCUGAGCAUGUGGUCGGCUAAGGACAAGGUCAUGACCUACGACCGGGUCAAAGAGGACGCCAACAACGCACGCAAGGACAUGAAGCUGGGUCCGUUUGACGUGUGUCGGAAGGUGUUCUCCAAGGGGGAGGAGUCGGGUCACAUGACGCUGAUUGACAAGUCGGACCUACCUGCUGCUGCUGGUGGUGAUCUGAAGUCCCACCUGGUCCUCCUCAGUAAGACAGCUGAUUGUAUCUGUGAUGGAGACCUGGUGGACAGACAGAUACGGUCCAAACAGGCCUGGUCUCUACUGCCCACACAGGCGAUCUAUUCCAGUGUGUUACCAGGAGAGUUGAUGCGUGGCUAUAUGAACUCUUUCCCCUCGUUUCCCUCCUGGCUGGGAAAGUUCUCCUCCUGCAAUAAACACUCUCGGAUCAUUCAGGAGCUGGCCUCUCACAUGAGCCUCAAGACAUUAAGUAGCAGACAGGCAGUGAGCCUGGACUACCUCCCUUACCUCCGCAUGUCCCUGCUGUGUCCUCUUCAGAGGCAUGACUACCACCUGGUCAGAGAGGAUGUGGACAGCCUCAUGGAGAUCAGCCUCUGGGGGGGCCAGCCUGACCCUUACGCUCAACUAGACCCCAAGGUGAAGUCAGCGUUCACGAGGGCCUAUAACCGGGAGACCCACCUGACACCCUACUCCCUCCAACCAAUCAAGAAGGGCCGUCGUGGCGGGGGAGUGGAGGCAGAACUGGGAGGAGAGGAGCAAGCGGAACAGCCUGAGGAAGAGGAGGAGGAGGAAGGUGUUGCAGCUGACGCCAUGAUCAAAAUUAUGUUAGGACACCAACCUAAACAAGAAAAACCACGCAGCCAUUUUACAAGCAAGGGAGAGGCGUCACAAAAAAACCAGAAAUACAGCUAA